rnacentral:rRNA from 1 species
UACGUAGGUGGCAAGCGUUAUCCGGAAUUAUUGGGCGUAAAGCGCGCGUAGGCGGUUUUUUAAGUCUGAUGUGAAAGCCCACGGCUCAACCGUGGAGGGUCAUUGGAGACUGGAAAACUUGAGUGCAGAAGAGGAAAGUGGAAUUCCAUGUGUAGCGGUGAAAUGCGCAGAGAUAUGGAGGAACACCAGUGGCGAAGGCGACUUUCUGGUCUGUAACUGACGCUGAUGUGCGAAAGCGUGGGGAUCAAA